rnacentral:lncRNA from 1 species
CUCCAGUUCCCAAAAGAGGAAAAAAAAAAUAAAGCAAAACGCCCCACAAACCAAACAUAUGUGAUGAACCUCUUGGUUGUUCCAAAGCAGAGAGCAAACCUCAGUACCAAACAUUUGUGCAACACUCAGUGUUUGCAAACCCCGGGACUGGGAGCAAUGGGAAUGCACGGGGAUCACUGGGGUAAAUCAGUACCAUAGGUUUACAAGUGAGGAUGCAGAGAUUUGAGUAUCAAGAAGAUAAAAUUGGGAGAUUUCAUAUCAUGGGCAAGUAAUGGAUGGGGAUUCACCAGCACAGCCCUGCAGCAUCCCAGCCAAACUCCAGCAAGCUGUGGGGACACGCACAUUUUUUCCCAUUUUUUCCCCAUUUUUUUCCCAUUUUCCCCCAUCUUCUCCCAUUUUCCUCCACCUCCUCCCAUUUUUUCCUAUUGUUUCCCCAUUUUCCCUAUUUCCCCCAAUUUUUCCCCCUUUUUUUCCCAUUUUUUCCCCCAUUUUUCUUCCCCUUUGCAGCAGGCUCUGUCCGAGCUGCCGCACUCGCUCCUCCACAGCUCUUGUGCCAUCUGCCGACUGAAGGCCGCCUGCAACAUGCAGCACUGCUCGCACCCAGCACUGCCUCCUGCAGCCCCCAUGCCUCCUUCCCUCCCUGCCCUGCAUUGCGUUGCAUUGCACUGCGAGCAUCCUCGGGAACUGGGCUAAAUCACAGCAAAAGCAAAGGGGAUGGAAGGUAGCUUGGAAGAAGGAGAGGGUGGAGAGAACGCUUCCAGGCUCAAUUUCAUCACAUCAAAGCCCUGAUCAACUUCUUAGCCCUGCCCGUAGUGAUCUCUGUGCCAUCCCCGUGUGUGCAGCCCGCUCCUCAUCCCCACAUUGCUCUGAGCAUGGACCCUCCUGCCUCAUUCAGGGCCACAUUUCCAGAGCUUCAGAUGCUCCAGCAGCACAACAGGACCUUGAUGAGCUCCUUGAGAACACCAGAAAGCAGAAACCACGCAAGCAGCCACCAUAGGAACACAGUUCAGACGAGCCAGAAGGAUCCUCCUCCUGCUUUCACUUAACCUAGUUAAAACAAGGGGCAAUAUCCCUGGGUGGCUGCAAUGAAAUCA